rfam:Aedes albopictus isolate Foshan contig34629, whole genome shotgun sequence.
AAAACGGCUCUUCUUAGAGCCAUCAAUGAAUUGUCCACUAAAGAGU